AUCGAACGCUGGCGGCAGGCCUAACACAUGCAAGUCGAGCGAGCGGCGGACGGGUGAGUAAUGUCUGGGAAACUGCCUGAUGGCGGGGGAUAACUACUGGAAACGGUAGCUAAUACCGCAUACCAUCAGAUGUGCCCAGAUGGGAUUAGCUUGUAGGUGGGGUAACGGCUUACCUAGGCGACGAUCCCUAGCUGGUCUGAGAGGAUGACCAGCCACACGGGAAAGGAGACGCGGUCCAUACUCCUGCGGGACGGAGCAGUGGGGAAUAUUGCGCAAUGGGCGCAAGCAUGAUGCAACCAUGCCGCGUGUGUGACAGAGGCCGUGGGGUUGUAAAGCACUUUCAGCGGGGAGGCGUUACCCGCAGAAGAAGCACCGGCUAACUACGUGCCAGCAGCCGCGGUAAUAC
rnacentral:rRNA from 1 species